rnacentral:misc_RNA from 1 species
CCAAUUUUAGCGAACCUGAUCUUUUUUGAUCAUGGUCUCGCGAAAAUCGUAUUUAAAACCCCCACUCUUGUAAAGAAUCAUGUGUAAUAAAAAAAAUAAAAAAGA